UUAACAGUUAAAGAUGGCCAAAUCCUGCUUUGCGGCGCUUAGGUAAAUCAAAGCAACUCAUCAGCUGUUUAUUUAAUGAAGCGGUACUUUUCCCACUCAUAUAUUACCGACCACCGAUGGAACACCAAUAUGUGAAAUAUGAAAAUGUGACAUUUCUUAAGCAUAGUGGACAAAUGGCAGCAGCAUCUCUGUACGUAGCUAUCGAUAUAUCGUUUGAAUAUUUAGUGGUACGUUCUGCUAGCCGAAAGGUGGCGCUACGCAAUUCCGUCGUGAGUGAAUUAAUAUGCAAUAAAGACUUCAAAUAAGCUCUUCUAAAUAUCGAUCCAAAAAAAUAUAUUUCACACGCUUUCUGGAGGCAGAGUAAGCCGGAAUAGAAAUAUCUCUUAAGAAAUUUGGAGAGCAGCAGUACAUCCUCAUACUCACCUCUCUUACUUCAAGGGUUCCGAAAAUUCAAAAAAAACUUUUCACUCUGUCAUCGGAUGCCAGCGAAUACGGCGGAAUCACGAGGGAGCUGUAUCGUGCGGCUGAAACCGUGGCUGAGUUCUGCGCCAACUAUGCCGAAAGAGUAUAUUGGGAAAAAACCGACAGCAACUAUGCUGAGCUGCAAAAAUGCCUGGAUGGCGAUAUCGUCUAGCCUUCCACAACCCCUUCAACCACUAUUAGAACCACUGCAUUGCCAGAAACAACAAAUGAAUAACUCGCCUAUACAUGUAUUAUUUGUAAAAAAAAAUGUAUAUAAUAAUUCGUAUAAUAACCGUAAUUA